UACGGAGGGUGCAAGCGUUAAUCGGAUUUAUUGGGCGUAAAGGGCGCGUAGGCGGGAUAGCAAGUCAGAUGUGAAAUCCUGGAGCUUAACUCCAGAACAGCAUCUGAAACUACAAUUCUAGAGGAUAGACGGGGAAAACGGAAUUCCACAAGUAGCGGUGAAAUGCGUAGAUAUGUGGAAGAACACCAGUGGCGAAGGCGGUUUUCUAGUUUAUUCCUGACGCUAAAGCGCGAAAGCUAGGGGAGCAAAC
rnacentral:rRNA from 1 species